CGGCGAACGGGUGCGUAACACGUGAGCAACCUGCCCCAAAGACCGGGACAACCCGAGGAGACUCGGACUAAUACCGGAUGCCCUCACCGGGUCGCAUGGUCUGGUGAGGAAAUGGAUUCCGCUUUGGGAUGGGCUCGCGGUCUAUCAGCUUGUUGGUGGGGUAACGGCCUACCAAGGCGACGACGGGUAGCCGGCCUGAGAGGGCGACCGGCCACACUGGGACUGAGACACGGCCCAG
rnacentral:rRNA from 1 species